UGUUUACCGGGCCGGUCCAGGCCGGUCGUCCACGUGUAAUACGAGUGUCACGAAUGACACAUACAAUUUCUUACACGCAUUUCGAGAGAAAACGUUGAAAAGCGUUGAAAUAUAUAUUAACAGUCCGUGAUGUCUCGAAGGAAGGGGUAAAUUGUAAAAGAAACUGCGUUCGAUUCUCCGCAAAUUUCUCCUCGGAAAAUUCAACGUUCGUAUACGACAAUUAAUGCGUCGACGAGGAGAGCCAAAGAUGCGAAUGCAGGAACGACUGUAAUAAAAGGACACGGCAGGAGUCCUCUUCUACGAGUUCGACAAUCGAUUUCGCUAACCGCGGACCGAAAACGGGAAGGAUCAACGGGAGAGAUCCUACACGGGCUAUAGACGACACACUCGGCGAGUUGUGGACCCGACACACGGCGGAGCAUUACUAGAGAGGGAGGACGCCCGUCGUCGGCUAAAUUAACAACGCAAAAAAUUCAAUAUUGCAUGAUUCCGUGUCCCGACGCAUUCGCACGCACGCACAACGCAUGCACGCGUUUACACGCUGACGAGGAGCACGUGCGGAGACUCGUUUUCGCGCGUGUAUCUGUCAGCACGGAGGUAAGCGCCAGGCAAAACGCGUUCGCGCGAGUAACAAUGUAUCCAACAAUGAUGCAUCUUGCAUAAAUAUAUAUAUCUAUAUGUA